GUAUUUUUGCCUGUUUAGCAUUGAAACUACAAGUUGGUUAGAAUGUGGUGCUGAUAACACCAAGGUCACAGGUUUGAUCCCUAUAUGGGACA